UACGUAGGCAGCGAGCGUUGUUCGGAGUUACUGGGCGUAAAGGGUGUGUAGGCGGUUCGGUAAGUUGGGUGUGAAACCUCCAGGCUCAACCUGGAGACGCCACCCGAUACUGCUGUGACUAGAGUCCGGUAGGGGAGCGUGGAAUUCCUGGUGUAGCGGUGAAAUGCGCAGAUAUCAGGAGGAACACCGGUGGCGAAGGCGGGUCUCUGGGCAGUAACUGACGCUGAGGAGCGAAAGCGUGGGGAGCGAACAGG
rnacentral:rRNA from 1 species